rnacentral:rRNA from 1 species
UACGGGGGGGGCACGCGUUGUUCGGAAUUACUGGGCGUAAAGGGCUCGUAGGCGGCCAACUAAGUCAGACGUGAAAUCCCCAGGCUCAACCUGGGAACUGCGUCUGAUACUGGAUGGCUUGAAUUCGGGAGAGGGAUGCAGAAUUCCAGGUGUAGCGGUGAAAUGCGUAGAUAUCUGGAGGAAUACCGGUGGCGAAGGCGGCAUCCUGGACCGACAUUGACGCUGAUGAGCGAAAGCUAGGGGAGCAAACGGG